rnacentral:lncRNA from 1 species
UCGCUGGGUGAAAGUAUGUACAUUUUAAAUUUUGACAAAUACUCCCAAACUGCUUAACAGCCUGUAGGAAAGACCUUGUCUCUUGACGUUGUCUGGAAGUACUAAUGUUCCCAUUACAGGAAAGUGGCCAACCUUUCUGAGGAGCAAGAUGUUUUCAUUCUCCACCAUAAAAUGGAUCUUAUAUUUUCAUUCAUUAAUAUGUGUGGCUUCAACUGGUAAUAACAUUGUUCUGCUUUAUGGCUUCUCAGAUAGGUAGAAAACAUCAGCUACCCUGGGGUUUUAUUUUAAGUUAUUCACAUUCCUUUGGUGACUCACAAACGCCAGAAAAUAAAUGCCAUGCUUCCCAGGGUCGAAGUGAAGAUACUGUAGGUUUUGGAGUCAGUAACUGAUCUUUCAAGAAGAUAGAAUAUGGGGUGAUGACUCACUCACCCCAUGGUAGCUGCCCUCCACCUCUGUCCUUUAGAGGAAGCAUUACUGCGGGUCUGCCUCCCUCGUCAAGAAUUACCCUAAGAGAGGAUGCCUAGCACAUGCCAAGGUUAGCCUUGCCCUUCUCUUCUUCGGAACGCCAUGGCUGGCAGUCCAUGGCUAGUCCUUGGCACAGAGUAAGCCACCGCUCCCGGUCGAUGCUUAGCAGUCACAGGGAGUAGCUGAGCAGUGGCAGCAGCUGCAAUUCACACAGCAGCCUGAAAGUUGUCUUAGCCUGCGAGGUUAAAAGUGUAUCCUGUGUUUACAGUAAAAAAAUAAAGCCUGCUUCCCCCUCUCUCCUACUGGAGCCCUCAACAGGACUGAUACACGAUUUGGGUGGCGUGAGACCAGCUCAGCUGAGGCGAAGCUUGGAAGAAGAGGGAGGAGGAGGAGAGGUACGGCGUCCCCGGGCAGCUCCGCGCAUGCUGCGGGAGUGGCCACAGGAGCACCGAGUACCAGUUGCUCAACACUUUCUCAGUUUGCACUGCUCUUUCUUCUCUCUUCAGUGAAUUUGCAUUUUGAGGGUGCAGCUCCACCGAAGAAAGGAAGGAACGUUUGUGCUGGCUGCAUCUCCAGGGCUGCUACAGGGCUCUCAGCCAGUCCUGCCCAGAAGUCCCCCUCUCACAGGCAGGACUUGACGCAGUGCUUCCAGCUGAUGGAGUGGGUUUGCGAGAGUUGGCCUUAGAAUUAAAACCCUUCAUGUGGCCUUUUUUAAUAUGCGUUUGAAACAGAGAGUUAUGUGUAGAAGUUGAAAAUGCCUGGAAGAUUUCUGGUCUCUGUCACUCCUUUUCCUGCCUUUUUGCACCUCUGCCUGAUUUGGAUGAUGUGACAUUCAGCGGGACACCUUAACCGAAGUCGUUCUUCAACGAGACAUCUGGCCAA